CCCUGAACCUUGUGAGGUCUUGAUCUUGGAUGCACUUUCUACCUUCAAACGAAUAGAAAAGUCACUCUUCCACUCUUUUUUUUGGAUGUUUUUUUAUUUUGAUGAGAGAGUAUCUCAACGAGACUAUGAUAAGGAACUGUCUUGCUAUGCUGGGCAUCUUUGUCUCAUCUCUUUCUUUUCUCUCAUCCAAAUUUUUCUUAGGGUC
rnacentral:lncRNA from 1 species